rfam:Nicotiana attenuata strain TT scaffold04490, whole genome shotgun sequence.
GAGUAGGCUAUGAUGCUCAAAUCUACCUAUUUGCUGAUAGGAGAUUUUCUCCGUCUGUGAUUAAUAACAUAACCAAUGGAUCCUUCUGAGCCUACU